GUAUUCUGACCUUUUUCAGUUAAGUGCUAUCAAAACCAAGCAGAGUUGGUAGGACAAACAGGCUAGGAUCCCAGUGAUAUUGUGAUCUUUACAUUUGGAGAAAAAGCCUAUAACUAAGAGAAUGCUUCAUAAAUGUAUCUAUCACUUUUCCUGAACUGGGGAGUUAGAAAAAAUCUGAGUGUCUGCAGUGUAGCAAAAAUAUGCAUUAUAAACAUGUUAAUCAUUUUGUGCUUCUAAACACCUUUAGAACUAGUAACGCUUCUUUGUUUUUAGAAGGCAAGCAAUUGUUAAUCUUGGCCCACUUUCUUGCAGGAAGAUGAUGUUGAUGUUAGGCCUGCAAGAAAAAGCGAGGCUCCAUUUACUCACAAAGUGAAUAUGAAAGCUAGAUUUGAACAAAUGGCUAAGGCAAGAGAAGAAGAAGAACAAAGAAGAAUUGAAGAACAAAAGUUACUACGCAUGCAGUUUGAACAAAGGGAAAUUGAUGCAGCACUACAAAAGAAAAGAGAAGAGGAGGAGGAGGAAGAAGCUAGCAUCAUGAAUGGCUCCACUACUGAAGAUGAAGAGCAAACCAGAUCAGGAGCUCCAUGGUUCAAGAAGCCUCUUAAAAACACAUCAGUUGUAGACAGUGAGCCAGUCAGAUUUACGGUUAAAGUAACAGGAGAACCCAAACCAGAAAUUACAUGGUGGUUUGAAGGAGAAAUACUGCAGGAUGGAGAAGACUAUCAAUAUAUUGAAAGGGGAGAAACUUACUGCCUUUACUUACCAGAAACUUUCCCAGAAGAUGGAGGAGA
rnacentral:sRNA from 1 species